UCCCCUGUAGCUCAACGGCAGAGCGGCUUCCUGUUAAGAAGAAGGUUGGAGGUUCGAAUCCUCCCGGGGGAGCCA
rnacentral:tRNA from 1 species